CUGGGCACCCAACGGGGGCUGCGGAGCGGGGGGCACCAUGUCCUUCCCCCGAGGCUGGCGCCCGCUCAGAUUCUUGAGCCUCAUGUGGUGUAUCUCCCAGAGCUCUGCCGCUCUCCUACAGCACCGGGGGACCUGCUGCCUUUGAUCCUUGAGUGGUGCAGACAAGACCAGGAGAAAGCUGGCUUGUGGUGAGGCGUCUACCCGCGAUCCUUGCGCUCAGCCCCGCCUCUCCUUUGCUCCAUUCGGCCUCCUGCCGCACCGAACCGCACUGUGGAUGUGGGGCUGGGGGGUCAGCGCUCUAGGGAUGAGCGAGCGCCCUGAGCCGCCACUGCAUGUCUGGGGCGCCGGAGUGGACAAACGCCCUCAGUGCAGCUGAUGCUGGCUACGCCCCUGACUGGCCGGUCUCCGACAACACACGUGCCGCCCCUUUCCCAUCUCUGAUACCUGGCUCCUGUGGUCUGACAGGCCAGUGACCGGUCCCUGCUGAGGGCUGUGGGUCAGUGUCGUCCAUUUGGAGAUCUUGGCGCCCCAGCAAUGCCCUAUCACUUCGUGUGGCUUGUUAUUAAAUACGCUGGUAAUGCAA